rnacentral:rRNA from 1 species
UACGUAGGGUCCGAGCGUUGUCCGGAAUUAUUGGGCGUAAAGGGCUCGUAGGCGGUCUGUCGCGUCGGGAGUGAAAACUUACAGCUUAACUGUGAGCGUGCUUCCGACACGGGCAGACUUGAGGUAUUCAGGGGAGAACGGAAUUCCUGGUGUAGCGGUGAAAUGCGCAGAUAUCAGGAGGAACACCGGUGGCGAAGGCGGUUCUCUGGGAAUAUCCUGACGCUGAGGAGCGAAAGUGUGGGGAGCGAACAGG